CGUCGCGUCACUUCCGGGGGACUCAGGACGUGGCUAACCAAAAUACCCGGAUACAACUGUCAUGGCUGCCCCCAGUGAGGCACCGCAAUGGAGAUCGAGUCAAGGGUUGCCCAGAAAGCGUUCAGAGUUUGGGGUUUCAAGGAAGUCUGUCAAGAGAAAAAGGAUGAGGAUGCCGGGUAGCAGGGUGCCCAGGAACUGCGUUUCCGCACUUCCUGUUAACUUGCCAAGUUUUAAUAGAGAAGUCUCCCCUUUUGACAGGGUGGGGCUUCUCUUUUCACCCAGGCUUUCUUUGUGUGCUGAGUUUUUGUUCCCGUCACCCCGCGGCCCUGGAUCAGCGCAGCGGUAGCCUGAGAGGAAUAGGCGGGUCAGGCUCUGGGGAGGUGGAGCGCGCCGAAGACUCCUGGGCGGGGGAAGCUAGGGGGACGCCUCGGAGUGCAGCCUCGAACUGCCGCCCCCUUUAAGUCCAGGUUCUUGUUUUAGCCUAGAUACUCUUCACCACGGGGUGGUCUCAGUUGAUCACAGGACUUGGGUUGGCUGACCAUCCGCACUCAACCAGUCUGCCCUGCUCCAGAUGGACCUUGAUCCUAGGGAAUGUCUAGGAUGGUUAUAUUCCAGUGAGACUAGUUAAAAAAACAGAACAAAACAACAACAACAAAAACUUCAAACAUAAGCAUUACGUUUGGAAUAAUGGAUAAAGUUCACAGGUUUCCUAUAGAUUUUGUCAUCAAAUGAAACAGGAACAAAUGUGAGUUGCUUCAUCACCAUUUCCUAGUAGUGACUUUUAAAGUACUCAACUAUGUAUCUGAUGAAUUCAAAGUCUCACUUGAAGCCAUUUUUACUUGCCUGAAAUAUGUAUUAAAGAGAUAGGUCAAAUACAUAUAGAAUGUUACUUUUUUUUAAAAAAUAGAAACAAAAAUGGAGAAAAUAAAACAGGUUAACUUUAAAGUGUGUUGUAAUUUGGAUGUUCACAUAAAAGUCUCAAAAGUAUAAGAGCUGACCUAAAAGGCUUUAAAAAGGAGAAAAGAAAGGUAGAUCUUUACCUUUAUUUGAAUAUCUCAUUAUUUGAACAGAAAAUAACAUGACUUUAGAAAGUACUUUGAAUCUUUUUUUUUUUUACAAUUAGGUACUAUGUUCAAAGCACUAAGUUAGUAAUGAAUGAGAAAAUACAUAAAUGCUUUAAAAUACAUGAAAUAAAUAAUGAACAGUUAUUAUCUCAUGUUUCUGGCCUAGUUAUGUCUUGCUGUUGUACAUAUUAAUGUCCAAUACUUAUGUUUAUUUUUAAAAAUAUCUGUAUUUUAUAUAGUUACAAUAUUUUAAAGAAAGCAAAAAUAAUCUGUUUAUACAUUUAAAAUAUCUGUUCCUUGUGUAUGUCUCACUUAAGAUUGUGCUUAUUUAUACAUUUGCACCCAUUAAAGUACUUCAUAAUGUGAUGAUCAUAAA